rnacentral:misc_RNA from 1 species
UGACCACUCAAGCCCAGCUUGGUAUUGGGGUUCGCGGUCUCGCGGCUCCUAAAAUCAGUGGCGGUGCCGUCUGGCUCUAAGCGUAGUAAUUCUCUCGCUAUAGAGUUCGGUCGGUUGCUUGCCAAAACCCCCUUAACUUCUCAC